AGCGCUUCAAAACCUAGAUCCACCCCUGGAUUAAUCUGGAAAAGGAAGCAGUGGGUUUGGAAAAUGGCUGUAGUCUCGCCUAAUGCAAAAAUGCAAGCUUCCAGGUCUAAGACAUCAACACAUGUGUCAAGGACCCUCCAUUGUGGAGAGGGACACAAUUGUCUUUCUAAGCAGACAAGGAGCUGUAGAAGAUAGCAUAUGUGAGGCUCAUGAGAGAGGGACAAACUCGUCCCAGUUUCCCUGAGAUGGCACCAGUUUUAAAAUCUAAAGCAUUUGGUCUCGGAAACCCACUCAGUUCUGGGCAAACUGGGAGGAUGGGUCACCCUCCUUGUUGAGGAUAAACGCAUAUCACUGUUGGUCACCACGGAGCUCCCAAGUAGCUGAUUGCUUGGCGUCAGGUAGGGGUCCGGUAACUCUUCGUUGAGUGAGUGGUGUGUAAACCAACCAUGGUGCCCUGUGAGCUGGAGGAGGGAGCUGCAUGGGCUGCUGGGGGUGGGGGAGCAGGUAGAUUGCCUGGAAAUCCAGGGUGCAAAUCAAGCCUGCGAUGGUGAAGUUGGAUCAGAGAGCUUGGAUCAUUAUUGGAGGGAGGAACGUGGAAUAUGAUGAGGGCAACCACCCACACACAGACAUGAAGAAACACAGGACAGCCUGCAAUGUAUUAUUCUGCAAGAGUAACAAAGACAAACAAUUAGCGGACUACUGAAUUCGAGUGGAUUUACUAUGGUGGAUGUUUACCUAAACAGAAGUCUGGGCCUUGAUUAAAGAGAACUAAACUGGGAGAAUCGAUAUACUGGGUGUGAUUUAGAACAAGAAGAGAACAAACUUGAAUUGGAAUAUUAAAGCAUGCUUGGCGCCUGAAAGGAUCUGGGUUAGCCAUUGCAGAUGGCUCAACUGAAGGGCUUUGGCCUGAGGUGGCUUCUCUUCUGUGACUGUGAGAAGAAGGUGAAGCAUAGUGCCCAGGAGUGAAGGCAAAAUUCAAAAUGAUAAGUGCAGAGACAUGGACUGCUUGAUUCAAAGGAUGGAGAUAGUUUUGGAUUUUUGGUAUAGAUUUUCCAGAAAAACCAUGUGGCGGGAUCUUCCUCCAGCAGUGAGCUUGCAUGAUGGUCUGAUUUAUGAAUAGUGGCAGUCAUGCUGGUUCCCAUUUCCUAGGCACUUGCACUACGCCCCACAGUUUGCAGACAUCUUUCCUAUCGUCCUCCCAGCCACCUUGCAAGGUUGGUCAUCUUUUCCCCAUAAAAAAUAGGACCUGAAGCUGGAACUGGAAGUGCUUUUCCUGGGUCUCUAGAGCCUAUGCUUUUUCCACUUGACCAAGCUUCCUGGCUCACUGUGUUAAAAGCAGGGUCUCAUUCCCUGUGAUUCUGGCUCUCUCCAUGUCUAAUUUUCACAAACUGUAACUUGUCCUUUACUCAGGGGAGGGAACAAUCUACUUUCUCAUCCUGUUUUCUUCGGUACCUAGUUUGAACCUCAUUCCUCAGAAGGCUAGCUGAACCUAACACUUGCUCCUCCACAUCUCAUACAGGGAUGUGUGAGCAGGACGACAGCACUCAUUAGAUGCCUCCAAGUCCAAUCCAAAACUGAACAAUUCUUUCUCCCCAUUCCAUAUUCUUCAUCUACCUACAUCCACAGGGAGGACCCUGGUUCCCAACAAUAUGAGUAUAUUUGCUUGUUUUCUCUACCUUAAGAUACAAAAUUUCAGAAUCAUUCUAUCAAUAUCACUAUCAGACAACAAAUCUACUGAGUAAAGCUGAAUUUCUUAAAAUUCCUUUAUAGCCUUAGCUUAUAUCCCAUUGAGGGUGUACAGUCAGAGGAAGAUGCUCAACACUUACUCAGCUUAAUUCUUCAUUUAUUCUGUGUGGUUAUGUCAUUAAUUUUGUAUAUGGUAACAGCAAUUGUUUUCCAUUUGUCUUCAAAUUUAGGAUCUUCUCCAUCUUUUCUGAUGCAACUCUACGUCCGAAUAUAAACAUGAUUCAAAAGUCACAACUAUGUACUCAGAGAAGUCUUAUUUCCUCUCUAUUCAACUCUGUUUCCACCUACUUCUUAUAACAGCUUCUGUCUUAGGUACAAGUAGCACAUUGUAUACAUUCUUUUUUCACCUGGUUUUUUUCUCACUAAAUAUAUUUGGAGAAUUAUAUCUAUCAUUUCAUAGAAAUCUCCUUGAUUUCUUUUUUAAAAGAUCUGCAUACAGCUCCCCUGUGUGGCUGCAUCAUUGUUUAUUCAACCAUUCUCCUAAGUAUUGGCAUUCAGACAGCUUCCAACAAUUUUCUAGUAGAAAUCACAACUUCAAUGCAUAAUUUUUUGUAUUCCUACAGGUAUAUCUUCAGAAUAAUUUCUUAGAAGUGGAUUUCUGGGCCAACAGGUAAAUGCAUUCAUAAUUAGAAGUUGCCUCCUCGUGGUAUAAGAGAAUCCAUUUCCUCAAAGCUUCAUCAAGAGGAUGUUAUCAAAUUUUUAACAUUUUGCCUGUCAGUUUCAGGAGAAAUUACACCUCUGUGCAGUUUAAUUUGCAUUUCUCUUAUCAUAAGUGAGGUUAGACAUUUGUAUUCGUACAUUUGAAUACAUGGUGUGUAUUUUUAUACAUCCAUAUAUCUUUUCUGAAUUUUCUGUUUAUCUCUUUUGCCCAUUUUGCUAUUUAGCUUUUUUUCCUCCCAUAAUUUUUAAGAGUGCUUUAUGUAUGUAAUGAAUAUUAAACUUUUGUCUGUGAUAUAUGUUGCAAAUAUUUUAUUCCAGUUUAACAUUUGACAUUUGUGUAUUGACAUGUAAUCUUUUCUUAAUGCACAGAUUUUAAAAAAAAACUCAACAUUUUCUUUGUUGCCUCUGGAUUUGGAGUCAUAGUUGGAAAACCUUCCUCCAUGUCCAAGUUUUAUAAUGAAAUUCACCUGUGUUUUAUUCCAGUACAUAUAUGGUUUCAUAUUUUACAUGAAAAUCUCUCACUCAUUUGGAGUUUAUUUCUGUAUGUGGUGUAAGGAAAAAAAUGAUUUAAAAAUUAAUUUUAAGAUUGCCAAUUUCCUGGCUUGUGGUUUCUUUAGGAACUUGCUAGAGUGUCUAACUUAUAAAAACGCAAGAGCUAUGAGGAUAAGGGCUUCCCCUUGUGGCUCAGUGGUAAAGAAUCCACCUACUAAGCAGGAGACAUGGGCUUGAUCCCUGGGUUGGGAAGAUCCCCUGAAGGAAAUGGCAGAUAACUCUGGUAUUCUGAUCUGGGAAAUCCCAUGGACAGAGGAGGCUGGCAGGCUACAGUCCAAGAGGUUUCAAAAGCGUCGGACAUGACUUAGCGACUAAAUAGUGACAACAACAUGAGGAUAAGGGAUGAUGAAGAAGCAACAUCAGUGUGAGAUUCUCAUGCACAGGAGACCUUCUCUUCCUGAAAAGGGCAGGCUGGUCCCCAAGCAUCACCGUUCAGAAGCCUACAGUGUUGGCGUGGAAGGUGUGAGCUGGAACUGAGCCCAGAUAGCUGGUGGCCAGGCAAACUGGUUUCUGGCAAGAGGGUAACAAGGCAAUGAAGAGAAGUCAGGGAAGGAGGGAAACCUGGGUUGAUCAGUGAUGGGUUCAAAGGAAGGGGAGUUACCUCCCGCUGAGCUGAGGAAGCUGAGAGGAGCAUCGCUGCAGUGACACCUCAAAAGGCCAAGUCGGUGAUGAUCAGAGUUGGGGGAGAAGAUGAGUGGCAAGGGGUGAUCAGGAAGCCUGCUGGGAAGAAGGCGGGGCUGGUGGCCACGGUGCUCUGCCAAGAUGACUCUUGUUAGUCUGAGUUCUGUGAUCUGGAUCUAAAGGGUUGGCUUGAACCCAGCAUUUCAAGUAAUCUGCAUUCUCCAAACUCAGGGGUGGGAAGAAAAACCUUGGCCAUCUGAGGGAGUUUUAUGGAUAACCCCCAAGAGCAUUCAAAAAUGCAUUGUACAGAGCGAAACACAACUUACGAGGAUUUAGAGAGAUUUCUGACACAGACCGUGAAAUCUGGCUCCAGAGACAUCUAUGAGCCAGGGGUGUUCCUCUAAGCAAAAAAGAACUAGUUUUCAUGAAGUGAAUUAUUGCUGGAUAUGAGACCAAAAGAAAGUUAGUCUUCUACUAUAGUUAAUAGAGAUGCCACUGCUUCACCCAUCCUCUCCUGUCCUCUCUGUGGCGGGGGCCUCUAACACCAGGAUGCAAAGAUAACUCAGAGGGCCUGUGCUGGCGUGUAGCCAAACCAGGAUUGAGGACCCCUGGUCUUAUAUUCACAAUCUAAAGAAAGGCCCAGUAUAACACUUUUCACCUUAAAGUGACAUUGCCUGUGAAUCAAAGUUAAGAGGGCCUUGUGAUGGGUUCAAAAUCCCAUUUCAAAUAUCAGGGAGAGAGAGGGGUGAGGAGCCUCUGAUAAGCUUAUGCAGCAUUCUUGAAAUGGGAUCCAAACUAGGUUCAAAGGGAACAGAGUGAGAGCAGGUCCUCCUUCUCCUGAAUAAGAAGUGGGCUCUAGCCUGAGUGCAGGAAGCAUCCUGGCCUAGGGCAAGAGAGAGCCAGAGAAAGGACAUCCAAUUCAGGCAUGCCUUGAUCCUUGCUUUGUAACUCUGCACAACUGGGUCUGGUGAGCUACAGGCCCUCAUUUGUAGGGGGAACAGAUGACUAACCUUGCUUGCUGGUUGGGAG
ensembl:lncRNA